UACGAAGGGGGCUAGCGUUGCUCGGAAUCACUGGGCGUAAAGCGCACGUAGGCGGAUCUUUAAGUCAGGGGUGAAAUCCUGGAGCUCAACUCCAGAACUGCCUUUGAUACUGAGGAUCUUGAGUCCGGGAGAGGUGAGUGGAACUCCGAGUGUAGAGGUGAAAUUCGUAGAUAUUAGGAAGAACACCAGUGGCGAAGGCGGCUCACUGGUCCGGUACUGACGCUGAGGUGCGAAAGCGUGGGGAGCAAACAGG
rnacentral:rRNA from 1 species